rnacentral:rRNA from 1 species
UCCAGACUCCUACGGGAGGCAGCAGUGAGGAAUAUUGGUCAAUGGGCGAGAGCCUGAACCAGCCAAGUCGCGUGAGGGAAGACGGUCCUAUGGAUUGUAAACCUCUUUUGCCGGGGAGCAAAAAGCGGUACGUGUACCGCAUCGAGAGUACCCGGAGAAAAAGCAUCGGCUAACUCCGUGCCAGCAGCCGCGGUAAUACGGAGGAUGCGAGCGUUAUCCGGAUUUAUUGGGUUUAAAGGGUGCGCAGGCGGAUUUUUAAGUCAGCGGUCAAAUCGUGGGGCUCAACCCCAUCCAGCCGUUGAAACUGGCAGUCUCGAGUUGGAGAGAAGUAUGCGGAAUGCGCGGUGUAGCGGUGAAAUGCAUAGAUAUCGCGCAGAACUCCGAUUGCGAAGGCAGCAUGCCGGCUCCACACUGACGCUGAGGCACGAAAGCGUGGGUAUCGAACAGGAUUAGAUACCCUCGUAU